CCCAGGUGCCCCACCUCCCUCAUUCUCUUAUAGGGAAAGUUGCAAUCACAUUAGGACCACUAGGAAUCCAAGAUUAGCUCCCGCUCUCAUGAUCCUUAACUGCAUCUACAAAGUCCCUUUCACCACAUAAGGUGUUUGUUUUCUCCAUUAUCAUUUAUAUACUACAUCAUGGACCAAUGAUACUGGCACAUUCUUUUCCUGUUACAUAAAUUACUGGGCAGUAAAAAUAUUCACACAGCUCUCUUGAGAGACAAAUCUGAAUCAUAAAAUCAAGUUUUCUCCAAGAUUCUACCUCAAGUGCAAUAUGAAUUUGUGAAAAAUGCACCCCACUGGAAGUCAGGCUGGGGAUUUUCAUUUGGGAAAAAAGGGGAGAGAGAACACUGAACAGCAGGAUCGAAAUCAUAAUCCCUGUUUUUAAUAGAAAUGUGAACUCAAGAUUUUACCUUUGCUUGCCCCAGCUUGAAAUCGUGCCCCGGGGAAAGUCUGCCUUCCUUCCAACCAGCUGGCACAGUGAGCUUUGUUUUAAGCAGCUCAACUCAAACAUGUUCCCCUUUUUAGGUUCUCCCUAAUAAAGCAUU